rnacentral:tRNA from 1 species
UAGCUCAGUGGUAGAGCUCCCGCUUCGUGCGCGGGGAGACCUGGGUUCCAUUCCCGG